rnacentral:misc_RNA from 1 species
GUGAAUGUCUGUGUCUGUUUGGUGGCAAGUUCUGUUUCCUGUUGUAUUACAUUUGAUCAGUUGGCACUUUCUCUCUCUUAUGACGUCCUUAUCCGUCUCCACGUAGAUCAAGAGAUUGGCCUUGAACUUCCAAGCAGUAGGCAUAAUAAAACUAAAAAAAGCCAAAUUGUUUUCUGUUGUUGGACUCUUCACAACUUUCUGACCUUUAAAUUUUGCCAAGCAGCAGGCAGGUUAUGUUCACAAUCACCUACUGUUCCCUGUGAAGUUAUGAAGGAAU